rnacentral:tRNA from 1 species
GUUCUUGUAGUUGAAUUACAGCGACAGUUUUUCGUGCUGUUGGUCCAAGUUAAAGUCUUGGUGGGAACA